GUCGGGUUAAGUCCCUUAACGAGCGCAACCCCUAUCACUAGUUGCUAGCGAGUAAUGUCGAGGACUCUAGUGAGACUGCCGGUGUCAAACCGGAGGAAGGUGGGGAUGACGUCAAGUCCGCAUGGCCUUUAUGCCCAGGGCUGCACACGUGCUACAAUGGUUGGUACAGAACGAUGCAAGACCGCAAGGUGGAGCAAAUCGCUAAAGCCAACCUCAGUUCGGAUUGUGGGCUGAAAUUCGCCCACAUGAAGUUGGAAUCGCUAGUAAUCGGGGAUCAGCUACGCCCCGGUGAAUACGUUCCUGAGCCUUGUACACACCGCCCGUCAAGUCAUGGAAGCUGGUAGUACCCGAAGUCGCCCCAUUUCAGGGGUGCCCACGGUAAGGCCGGUGACUGGGACUAAGUCGUAACAAGGUAGCCGUAGGGGAACCUGCGGCUGGAUCACCUCCUUUCUAAGG
rnacentral:rRNA from 1 species